UACGAAUAACAAUUUUCUGGGGAAAAA
rnacentral:piRNA from 1 species